rfam:Lingula anatina scaffold2057, whole genome shotgun sequence.
AGCAGAGUGACGCAGUGGAAUCGUGCGGGACCCAUAACCCCGAGGUCCUGGGAUCGAAACCUAGCUCUGCUA